UACGUAGGGCGCAAGCGUUAUCCGGAAUUAUUGGGCGUAAAGAGCUCGUAGGCGGUUUGUCGCGUCUGCUGUGAAAGACCGGGGCUCAACUCCGGUUCUGCAGUGGGUACGGGCAGACUAGAGUGCAGUAGGGGAGACUGGAAUUCCUGGUGUAGCGGUGAAAUGCGCAGAUAUCAGGAGGAACACCGGUGGCGAAGGCGGGUCUCUGGGCAUUAACUGACGCUGAGGAGCGAAAGCCAGGGAGCAAACGGG
rnacentral:rRNA from 1 species